GGGGAAUCUUCCGCAAUGGGCGAAAGCCUGACGGAGCAAUACCGCGUGAGGGAAGACUGCCUAUGGGUUGUAAACCUCUUUUUUCAGGGAGGAACAAAAUGACGUGUACCUGAAGAAUAAGCAUCGGCUAACUCCGUGUCAGCAGCCGCGGUAAGACGGAGGAUGCAAGUGUUAUCCGGAAUCACUGGGCGUAAAGCGUCUGUAGGUGGUUUAAUAAGUUAACUGUUAAAUCUUGAGGCUCAACUUCAAAAUCGCAGUCGAAACUAUUAGACUAGAGUAUAGUAGAGGUAAAGGGAAUUUCCAGUGGAGCGGUGAAAUGCGUAGAUAUUGGAAAGAACACCGAUGGCGAAAGCACUUUACUGGGCUAUUACUAACACUCAGAGACGAAAGCUAGGGUAGCAAAUGGGAUUAGAUACCCCAGUAGUC
rnacentral:rRNA from 1 species